rnacentral:rRNA from 1 species
CCUACGGGGGGCAGCAGUGAGGAAUAUUGGUCAAUGGUCGGGAGACUGAACCAGCCAAGCCGCGUGAGGGAGGAAGGUACAGAGUAUCGUAAACCUCUUUUGUCAGGGAACAAAGACUGGGACGCGUCUCCGGAUGAGUGUACCUGAAGAAAAAGCAUCGGCUAACUCCGUGCCAUCAGCCGCGGUAAUACGGAGGAUGAGAGCGUUAGCCGGAUUUAUUGGGUUUAAAGGGGGCGCAGGCGGUCGUUUAAGUCAGCGGUCAAAGCCCGGGGCUCAACCCCGGCCCGCCGUUGAAACUGGCAGUCGCGAGUUGGAGAGAAGUAUGCGGAAUGCGCGGUGUAGCGGUGAAAUGCAUAGAUAUCGCGCAGAACUCCGAUUGUGAAGGCAGCAUGCCGGCUCCACACUGACGCUGAGGCACGAAAGCGUGGGUAUCGAACAGGAUUAGAUACCCUUGUAGUC